rnacentral:misc_RNA from 1 species
AAGUCGUAACAAGGUCUCCGUUGGUGAACCAGCGGAGGGAUCAUUACAGAGUUACCAAGCUCACCAAAACCAUCGCGAACGUUACCCGUACCGUUGCCUCGGCGGGCGGCUCCGUCCCGGAGCCGCAGCCCCCUCACCGGGGCGGCCCGCCGGAGGUCAGCCGGAGAAAAACUCUUUGUCCUCUAGGGCCUCUCUGAGUAUUUUUGUACUAAACAAGUCAAAACUUUCAACAACGGAUCUCUUGGUUCUG